GGACGAUGAAGGAAACAUCUCUGCUGUGUCUGCUCUUUCUGAUCUCACUGCUGAGCUGCACAACAAACCAAGCUCGUCUGACUGUGAGUCCCAGCAGCUCUCAGUUCUUUAAAGGAAACUUUGUGUCUCUGAGCUGUGAGGAGGACGACAGCUCUGCUGGAUGGACUCUGAGGAGAAACACAAGCAAACGACAGAAGACUCAGUGUGGAGAUGGAUGGGGAACAUCAGCUAACUCUUCCUGUAACAUCAGUAUAACAGCACCACAUGACAGUGGAGUUUACUGGUGUGAGUCCAGAGAGGGUCCCAUCAGUAACAUGGUUAACCUGAC
ensembl:lncRNA